GAUGAACGCUGGCGGCGUGCUUAACACAUGCAAGUCGAACGGAAAGGCCCUAGCUUGCUUGGGUACUCGAGUGGCGAACGGGUGAGUAACACGUGGGUGAUCUGCCCUGCACUUCGGGAUAAGCCUGGGAAACUGGGUCUAAUACCGGAUAGGACCACAUUCUGGAUGGUGUGGUGGAAAGUUUUUCGGCGUGGGAUGAGCUCGCGGCCUAUCAGCUUUUUGGUGGGGUAAUGGUCUACUAAGGCGUCGUCGGGUAGACGGCCUGUGAGGGUGUACGGCGACAUAUGGGGUGAGAGACGGCGCAGACUCCUACGGGGGAGAGCGGUGGGGGAUAUAUCACAAUGUGCGCAGAACUCAUGCGGCGACGCGGCGUGGGGGGUGUGAGCCUUCGGGUUGUGUACUCCUUUCUCUAGGGACAAAGCGUUUUUGUGACGGUACUGGGAGAAGAAGCACCGGCUAACUACGUG
rnacentral:rRNA from 1 species